rnacentral:rRNA from 1 species
GACGAACGCUGGCGGCGUGCUUAACACAUGCAAGUCGAACGGAAAGGCCCUGCUUUUGUGGGGUGCUCGAGUGGCGAACGGGUGAGUAACACGUGAGUAACCUGCCCUUGACUUUGGGAUAACUUCAGGAAACUGGGGCUAAUACCGGAUAGGAGCUCCUGCUGCAUGGUGGGGGUUGGAAAGUUUCGGCGGUUGGGGAUGGACUCGCGGCUUAUCAGCUUGUUGGUGGGGUAGUGGCUUACCAAGGCUUUGACAGGUAGCCGGCCUGAGAGGGUGACCGGCCACAUUGGGACUGAGAUACGGCCCAGACUCCUACGGGAGGCAGCAGUGGUGAAUAUUGCACAAUGGGCGGAAGCCUGAUGCAGCAACGCCGCGUGCGGGAUGACGGCCUUCGGGUUGUAAACCGCUUUCGCCUGUGACGAAGCGUGAGUGACGGUAAUGGGUAAAGAAGCACCGGCUAACUACGUG